UACGAAGGGGGCUAGCGUUGCUCGGAAUUACUGGGCGUAAAGGGCGCGUAGGCGGACAGUUUAGUCAGAGGUGAAAGCCCAGGGCUCAACCUUGGAAUUGCCUUUGAUACUGGCUGUCUUGAGUACGGGAGAGGUGAGUGGAACUGCCGAGUGUAGAGGUGAAAUUCGUAGAUAUUCGGACGAAGACACCAGUGGCGAAGGCGGACUCACUGGCCCGUACUGACGCGUGAGGUGCGAAAGCGUGGGGAGCGAACAGG
rnacentral:rRNA from 1 species